GAUGAACGCUAGCUACAGGCUUAACACAUGCAAGUCGAGGGGUCUUUUGGAGCUUGCUUUAAAAGACGACCGGCACACGGGUGAGUAACGCGUAUCCAACCUGCCCUUCAUAUUGGGAUAGCCUUCCGAAAGGAAGAUUAAUACCGAAUAACAUGAUAGAGUUGCCUGAUUUUAUCAUGAAAGCUCCGGCGAUGAAGGAUGGGGAUGCGUUCCAUUAGGUAGUAGGCGGGGUAACGGCCCACCUAGCCGACGAUGGAUAGGGGUUCUGAGAGGAAGGUCCCCCACACUGGAACUGAGACGCGGUCCAGACUCCUACGGGAGGCAGCAGUGAGGAAUAUUGGUCAAUGGGCGCAAGCCUGAACCAGCCAAGUAGCGUGAAGGAUGACUGCCCUAUGGGUUGUAAACUUCUUUUAUACGGGAACAAACCCUGGUACGUGUACCAGAUUGCGUGUACCGUAUGAAUAAGCAUCGGCUAACUCCGUGCCAGCAGCCGCCGUAAAAC
rnacentral:rRNA from 1 species